AUGGAGGAUCCAGAGGACGAAGGCUCUGAGUCCAGCCAGAACCCUGGGGUGUGUAACCUUAGGAGGUUUGCUAAGGAGACCAGCAUGACGAGCCGGCUGGAAUCUGAGCUCUCUGACCCCCACUCCUGCCCCUACAGCCACUUGGUCCCAUGGGGUGACAGGGCAGUGUUCCCAGCAGUGGGACAAGAGGCACUGGCACCAGGCCAUGAGCCAUGCAUUCCUAGCUCUGCAGGGCAUGCAUGCCACGCGGACUGUGACAGUGAGCUCUUCCAGGCCCCCAGUGAGCCUGAGAGGGGGUCUGGGAAGAGUCAAGAGACACCCAGACAGUGCCAUGUGGCAGUGAAGCCUCUGGUCCCAAUCUGCCAGGGUGCAAAGCCCCAGGACUGCUGGUGGGAUGUUGGCACUACCCCGUUUUCCUUUUCCAGCUACAACAGAAUGGCAGAGAGGAAAGGACCCUCCGGGAUCUUCCAGUUCAGCCAGCCCAUUUUACAGAGGUGGAGACUGAGGCCAGAGCCCACCUUGCAGAUGAAGAAAGUGAGGCUCAGAGAACCAGUUUCCCGAGGACACCUGGCCCCACGGCGUGCCUGAAUCCGGGGCACGCGCUUCCUGCUUUGGCACACUACGGCUCCUUUUCAAAACGAUGUUUGUGAAAAUUAGUCUCAGUAAAGACAGCUAAGAAGGA